UAUCGAUAACUAAACUUGCGAUCUAAUAUAUAGUAAAACACGACGCAUGUAUUCCGUUAAAUAAUAAUUCGUAAAUAGUCCAAGAAAUGAACCAUCUUCCAUUUGUUUUAUCGACGUUUAUUUAAUCGUAAUUACGUUACUUAAUUACAGUUUCAACCAACAAUUACUGCAUCAGUCAGAAUGACUAACUUGUCAAUCAACUAUAAUAAUUUCGAUGAAUGUAUGCUUGAAAACAAAGAUUGCCAAAAACCAUAAAUGAAACUUACAAAAACAUGUCACUCAUCGACUAAAAAAGAACCUGUCGAUGCCUUUCUGAAAAGAAUCAAACCUAACCUCAAAAGCCUGGUUGCACAAUGCGUGCUUCUCGUGCGCAUUGGAUCCGAUUUUCGGAUCCAUUCGAUAUCGAAUAUCAACGUCUCGGUAAUUAUGGUACGAUCGACGAGGAUUCUACGUGAAAAGAUAAAUCGAAAACAUAGAAUGGAAUAAAAUUCUUCCAUAUAUACCUCGCUAAUAAUUUAUUCAGUAUAUAUAAAUUUAACUAAUUACCGCUGGGCGCGGUUCUGCGUGCGAAAAUAAAUAAAAAACUAUAGAAUAAAAUUUGUUCGUUCAAGACCUCGUUGUCAAGAAUAUGAUAUUUGAACGCGUUGAGUUAAGAAUUGGCUUGAUACAUGCGUACUUGAUUCAAAUUUCAUUUUCUCGGAAGCGUCUAUGAGCAAAUUUUUGAUCUCCAACACAUCUUCAACUUAUUUUCGUACGUAGUAUAUUCUUAUCGACUAUUCGCUUCUGUCCAAUCCGGAAUUGGCCAAGUUCAAGUAUACGACACAAGUUUUCAUACUCGGUUCUCUCGAAAACGAAACGUCACAUUUUCUUCUAUAUUUCCAAAUUGUUUUUUCAUGUAGAAUCGCCCACUUACCGAUUGUACCGCGAUUGCUGGGGUACCCUAUACAUUAUUGCGUUCGAAAUUUCGAAGUGAAUCACACUAAAAGCAAACUAUCGAAGAAUUAACGAUGUAUCUCGAAAACGCGAUAGUUUACUAUCUAGUGAAGUUUAUAUGAGAUAAGGAAAACAAAUAAAAACGGAAUUUACAAAGGAUGGACUUUUCCCUGAGGGAAGCGAUACGUAAAUGUGGAACGAAAAGCUAUUGUCUGUCUAACUGUUUGUUUCUCGGAGAAAUUAGAAAAAAACGUAUGAACGAAAAAAAGAGAAAUUAAAAAAUUCUUAUUAAUAAGCUUUUUAUCGUCAUCUCUUAUCCCUUAUUUCGCGUUUAUUUAUAAAGCCCGAUAUUAAAAUUUAACAUCUAAAACUACGAAACCGGGCAAAAUGACUGAUAUCAGAUCUUUUUGCUCUUGCAAUUACUAGAACAGGAUUUUCCUAGUUUUAAAAGUCACUUAAAGAAUGAACAUUUCGUACAUUAUGUAAUAUAUAAUAUGUACAAUAUGUAAAUGUAUGCGUCUGUCAAUCGAUUACAUACAAAAUACUCCUAUACAUAUUAAUAAUGAAUACCAAAGUUAUCAUUCUUUGCAGGUAAUGUUCUCGUAUAUUUGCAUAAAUUCCUGAAUUAUUAUUAUUAAACGAUUACCGAAGGUCGUCUUAUUUUGAAGUAAUUAUCUUUCCUAAAUUUCCAAUCAAAAUGCUUUUAAGCUAAAAGGUCUUACACUAAAAGAAAAAAAUCGAGGAAUUAGAUCGAUUGAUAUUUGAUAGCAAAUACUAAGAGACCAGACAUAAUACAAACACGAUACGGAUUUUCCACGCAAUAACAGGCUGAUUGUCACAGGUUUAAUCUCAUUAUGCCCGUCUGAUAUAAAAAAUAAACUAAGUCGACACUUGUUUCUGCACAUUUGACCAACAGCAGCCUACGUUAAUUUCCAUUAUGUAAUCAAACCCAUAAUGUGAAAUACACGCAAUAAAAAUUUAUAAUUUAUUAUUGCUGAUUAAUGGCGUGUCAAAAUUUGCAUUCGUCAAAAUAUACACGCAAAUAUUUCUAUCUGAAAAAUUCUUCUAGUUUCGUACAUCGUCGACUUUUGAUAACUUCCGAUAUCGCUGACAUAUUUUCAACGAAUCCCUCGAUUUGUACAUACUUUUAUCUGUGCCAGCCUGUGGAAAUUCUCACUUCCAGUCCACCAAUGUUAUAUACACUUCCACUUAUAGAUAUUAGGUCAUUUAUGGCUUAUGAGAAAUCAGUACAGACAAGUAUACUUAAGGUUUAUAACAUUUUAUUUCACGUAUAUGUACAAUACAGCAUAUCCAGGGGACGUCUUUUUCAGAAAGAUUAUUCAGGAAGAUGAAUGUGUUUUGUGCUUUUUCCAACAAUACGUCUACGAUAGCUUUCUGUUUAUGCGCUUCUGUAAUUUAUGCGCUUCGAGGUGCAAUAAUUAUACAUUUUUGUAAUUCUUAAUAUUCAUAAUUUAAUAACAAGUUCAGGUCCAAUUUCAGAUGAAUAAGGUUGAACGGUAGAUACGGACGUCAAUUAUGUUACUCUUUAAAAAAAUGGCAUAAAACUUUUUUAUGACGUCAGUAGGAUGAAAUACGAGAACGAUUCCAAGCAUUGAAUGUCAAAGUGUCACCUUUUUCAUUUUUCUGCGAUUUCUGCGAUAUUUUAAGGAACAGCUGAACACAUACAAGCGUGUCUCAAUUAGUUCUAAUUAAAGCAAUUUGUAAGUUCUUUUUCGAUGAACGUUUCUUAAGAAUUCUAUUUUUGAAAGUAAAAUAAACGUAACGAUAUUUGAGAACCAAAAAUGGACAAGAAUAUCUGUUAUUAAGAAAAAUAUAAACAUUAAUUUUUUUCGUUAAUUUCGUUCGUGCCUUUACGGGUAAAAAAUUAAUUUUGGCAAAAGCCUCUAAUAUUUUAUGUAUAUAUAAUAAUAACAUAUAAUGGUAUUUAUAAAUAAAAAAAUGGUUUCAUUUUAUUAUUACGUUUUAUUCUAUUGCUACAUUUUUCCUGUAUCCUGUUGAUAUGCAAAUCAGCUUAUUCAGUGCUUUCAGAAUAACAUUUAUAAUUAUUAUUUACCUUAUUUCUAUUAAUAAAACAAAUAUACGUUAUAAUAAUAAUCUUUUACUAUUUUUAACUGACUUACAAUUAAGUUCAAAUUAAAAAUUAAUUUCUCAUGCAGAUAAAAUCGAUUUUCCUUGUCCUUAAUUAUUUUUCCUAUUAUUACUAAGUUUAUCAUACUUAAUAUUCACAUUUACAUAUAUGGAAUUUAAAAAUACUACCUCGAUGUUCGUAUACCUAACACCUAAUUUUCGUCACCUAAUUCGUUGUCGCAAUACUUAAUUUAAGAAUUGUAAAACUGAACCACUCGAAAUACCUCGUUUAUCGCUUAAACCCUGAAAUAUUCCGCUUGAGAUAUUCACGUAAUUAUUAAAACAAUGUCACAACAGUUGGGAACGUUGAACUGUGGCCAACGAUACACGCAAAUCAAUUCAUCGUCAGCCACCCAUAUAAUAUCAUGGUUUACGUUGCACAUUUAACUCGUUACUUCGCUAAUUUAUUCGAAUAAUAAAUUAUUCGUUAUUUCCAAAUAAUUUCGUUCGUCUGUAACCUUCGUUGAAAAAUUAUUCGGCUUAGAAUUAAAUCGAAGUUGCGUUUCAAUGAUUUAUUUAAAAAUGUUCGAAAAUUCCUGCUGAGAAAUGUUUCUGGAAUAAUUUGUAAAAAAUUAUUUGGAAAUUUGUAUUCGAAUAACAUCCAACUCUGCAAUAAACGUUUCAUAUAUCAUAUACAUGCAACAGACUUCACUUCCGCCCCAUUCGAUUCAAAUGCAAGCUUACGAUUUAACGAGGAAACCGUGAUAUUUUCAAAACAAAUAUUUCUACAUAAGUUUAUUCUUUUAAUGCGCGAAAAGCAAGCGGAAUAUCAACUUUUAACCAAUCUGUUUAAAUAUAUACGUAACAAACACUGGUCACGAUCUUCGGUCACGAGGAAGUGAAUCAGUGAAUUUUAUUCGUUUCUCGGUAUGCUCAACGGAUUCACGAGUUCAACUACGAUAAUUGUUUUUUCCACUUCGAAAGCACGUGGUUCGUACGAAGAAAGGAAAAUAACAGACUUACGACUGUAACGCUAGAAGAUCAGCAGAAGGUUCUCGGUUGGCUAGAAAGGCUUCGAC